GAGACCCACGCCCACAGUUGCCAGCGUACUCUCCGGAGUGACGGGUACACUGUGGGGACCGCCGCUGCUAAAGCGGAGGAAGGAAUGGGCAACGGUAGGUCAGUAUGCCCCGAAUGUCCCGGGCUACACGCGGGCUACAAUGGCUGGUACAAUGGGUAUCUACCCCGAAAGGGGAUGGAAAUCUCCUAAAGCCAGUCUUAGUUCGGAUUGAGGGCUGAAACUCGUCCUCAUGAAGCUGGAAUCCGUAGUAAUCGCGUUUCAAAAGAACGCGGUGAAUAC
rnacentral:rRNA from 1 species